GUGCUCGCUUCAGCAGCACAUAUACUAAAAUCGGAACGAUACAGAGAAGAUUAGCAUGGCCCCUGUGCAAGGAUGACAUGCAAAUUCGUGAAGCAUUCCAUAUUUUU
ensembl:snRNA U6 U6 spliceosomal RNA